AUUAUGAUGAGUUAGAUGAAGAACUUGAAGAAAUUCCAGUUCAUGAUCAAGGUUCAAAUUCUCAACCAUUUGAAGAUAAUGAAGAUGAAGGGGAAGAUGUUGAUUUAGAAGCAUUUCAGCGUAGAAACUUUUUUAAUGAUGAUGAAGAUGAUGAUUGGCAUUAAAGAUUCAAAUGUUGUUCAUAUAUGCUCUUGGACGAUGAUGAAGACUUGUCAAGAUGGCUUUUUUUAAAUACUUGUUGU